rnacentral:tRNA from 2 species
UGAUGUGGCUCAGUCGGUAGAGCAACUGAUUCGUAAUCGGUAGGUCGCGGGUUCGAUUCCCGCCAUCA